GACGAACGCUGGCGGCGUGCUUAACACAUGCAAGUCGAACGGAAAGGCCCUGCUUUUGUGGGGUGCUCGAGUGGCGAACGGGUGAGUAACACGUGAGUAACCUGCCCUUGACUUUGGGAUAACUUAAGGAAACUGGGGCUAAUACCGGAUAGGAGCUCCUGCUGCAUGGUGGGGGUUGGAAAGUUUCGGCGGUUGGGGAUGGACUCGCGGCUUAUCAGCUUGUUGGUGGGGUAGUGGCUUACCAAGGCUUUGACGGGUAGCCGGCCUGAGAGGGUGACCGGCCACAUUGGGACUGAGAUACGGCACAGACUCCUACGGGAGGCAGCAGGGGGGAAUAUUGCACAAUGGGCGGAAGCCUGAUGCAGCAAUGCCGCGUGCGGGAUGACGGCCUUCGGGUUGUAAACCGCUUUCGCCUGUGACGAAGCGUGAGUGACGGUAAUGGGUAAAGAAGCACCGGCUAACUACG
rnacentral:rRNA from 1 species